GCUGGCGGCGUGCCUAACACAUGCAAGUCGAACGCGAAAGGGGCUUCGGCUCUGAGUAGAGUGGCGAACGGGUGAGUAACACGUGGGUGACCUACCUUCGAAUGGGGGAUAACGUCCCGAAAGGGACGCUAAUACCGCAUAACAUCCUGUCUUUGAACAGAUGGAGAUCAAAGCUGGGGAUCGUAAGACCUGGCGUUUGAAGAGGGGCCCGCGUCCGAUUAGCUAGUUGGUGAGGUAACGGCUCACCAAGGCAACGAUCGGUAGCCGGCCUGAGAGGGCGGACGGCCACACUGGGACUGAGACACGGCCCAGACUCCUACGGGAGGCAGCAGUGGGGAAUUGUUCGCAAUGGGCGCAAGCCUGACGACGCAACGCCGCGUGGAGGAUGAAGGUCUUCGGAUUGUAAACUCCUGUUGCCCGGGACGAAACGCCUCGACCUAACACGUCGAGGUUUGACGGUACCGGGUGAGGAAGCCCCGGCUAACUCUGUGCCAGCAGUCGCGGUAAUACAGAGGGGGCAAGCGUUGUUCGGAAUUACUGGGCGUAAAGGG
rnacentral:rRNA from 1 species